CAGAGAUGCACACGCACACCCACGCCCACUCACCCUCCUGCAAGGCUGUGUUAGACGGAUUGUACCUGCUUCCUAAGGAGAGGGACUGGGUGCUGUGGCCAGAAUGGCUGAGGGCUCCUUGUCAUAUAGGAGAGGUUUGGGCAAUUGUGGAAAGUUCAACUCACAGGCCAGCACUGCAGUGGGGAGAGGGGGAUCCUAGUGCCCUGUUGAGGAUAGAGGGUGAGAGGUCAGAGAAUCUUAGGGUUAGUAGAUCUGCUCCCCCCUGACCAGCAUCCAGAAAAUUCUAUGACCCUCCCCUCCGUAGAGGUUUCAGACUUUCAUGGAUAUCAGAUCCACCUAGGGUGCUGAUUAAAAAAUUCAGACACCUGGGCCGCCCCAUCAGAGAUUAUUAUCCCCACCUGGCAGGAAUGGAAACUGAAGCCCAGAGAGGCUAGGUAACUUGCCCAGGACCACAUAGCAGGGCUGGUAUAUGGGCAGUCCAGUGCCCAAGCUCUGAACCACCAUGCCAGGCUGUUUCAGGCACCUGCAGACCCAGAUGCAGACAUCUGAGGACACACCACAACCAGUCCCUGAGGGGAGCAAGAUGGGGAGCAGGGUGCAGAGCUGGACACAAAGCCAGGACCCCAAACUCAGCGCUCUGUUCCCACGUGGGCCAGGAGACUCAAGAGAAAAACCUGAGGCCCAAUCCCAGCUGCGUGAACUGGCUCGACAAGGCUGCGGGAUGCAGAGGCCAGAGCAGCCUCAACCCCCAACCCCUCAGUCUCCAGCAGAAGAAUAUGCGAACACUCCUCAGAACAAGUUCCAGCUCGAGUUCCUUCCUUCCUGCUUCCGUCAACUCCAUCCCUCCAAGCCUUGGCCUCCCCUCAGCACCUCAUCCAACUGGCAAACUUCCAAGGAGAGGCAGGACAGUGAGCAGGCACUCUGCCCAGACUGCCUGUGUUCAACCUCCAGAGCUUACCAGCUCUGCAACCUUGGGAAGAUGAGGUUAUGGGUGCUACGGAGCUCUGGUCCGCCAGUUCCUGCUGCAAGUCACCGCUGUUCACUCACCAAGAAACAAGUUGGUCAGGAAGCUGCACUGCAGCUGUGGUGUUUUUUUGUUUUGUUUUGUUUUUUUGAGACGCAGCCUUGCUCUGUUGCCCAGGCCAGAGUGCAGUGGCACAAUCUCAGCCCACUGCAACCUCCACCUCCCAGUUUCAAGCCAUUCACCUGCCUCAGCCUCCUGAGUAGCUGGAAUUACAGGCACCUGCCAACAUGCCCAGCUAAUUUUUGUAUUUUUAGUAGAGAUAGGGUUUCACCAUGUUGGCCAGGCUGGUCCUGAAUCCCUGACCUCAAGUGAUCCACCCACCUUGGCCUCCCAAAGUGCUGGGAUUACAGCCACGAGCCCCCGCGCCCGGCCCAGCUGUGGCUUUUAAGGACACCAGAGAAACACUCAUGGAGCCAGAGGUGGCAAAUCACCGAAUUAGAAUUACCCUAACCAGCUGCAAAGAAAAAUCCCUGGAGGUGUGUGCUGACUUGAUCAGAGGCCCCAAGGAAAGAACUCUCAAAAGUGACAGGACCAAUUCUGAUGCCUCCCAGGACUUUGAGAAUCACCCUGAGAAAAACUUGUGGUGGGCUGGGCGCUGUGACUCACGCCUGUAAUCCUAGCACUUUGGAGGCCGAGGCGGGUGGACCACUUGAGCCCAGGAGCUCAAGACCAGCCUGGCCAACAUGGUGAAACCCCGUCUCUACAAAAAAAAUACAAAAA